rnacentral:rRNA from 1 species
UACGUAGGUGGCGAGCGUUGUCCGGAUUUAUUGGGCGUAAAGCGCGCGCAGGCGGUUGUCUAAGUCUGCUGUGAAAUCUCCCGGCUCAACUGGGAGGGGGCGGCGGAGACUGGGCGACUGGAGGGACCUAGAGGCCGGUGGAAUUCCCGGUGUAGCGGUGAAAUGCGCAGAUAUCGGGAAGAACACCCGUGGCGAAGGCGGCUCUCUGGGACGGUACUGACGCUGAGACGCGAAAGCGUGGGGAGCGAACAGG